ACCCUCUAUAUAGGGCCUGGAUCCGGUUUCGCAGCCGCGGCCCAAGCCCAAAUGCCUCCAUCGAUAAUGGGUAACAGCAUUGGUAUUUGGUUUUGGUUGUGGUCGUCCCAUGGAGUAUGCUCAUGAUUUUGGUGGUGUUGUCCCUGGUUUCACGGCCUGGCAAAAACCCACCUUGGUCAGGGUGGAUCAGUCCAGGCAGGAUGGGGUUGAGCCUAUUGGCUAUGAGUUUAGCUAUCAGCUUAAGAUUCAGUUUAAUGAGGGAUAUUGGUCUGUAGCCUGGUUUGGGGAGGAUAGUGAUCGAGGCUCUCAGCAUUGAUGAGGGGAAUGGGGAGUCAGGGGUCAGCCCAUUAAUAGUCUUAAGGAGGUGUGGUGCCAAUGUAGACUGGAAGGUUUAAUAGUAACGUAUCAUCAGGCCAUCAGGUCCUGGGCUCUUGCCCUUGGGCAUGGUUUUAAUGGCUACAAAGAGUUCUUCCAUAGAGAAUGGCUCGUCUAAUUGGCCAGCGGUUACACUAGGAACUGUGAGAGGAAGAUUUGAGAUAAUGUAUUCCUGUAGUUCUGAGGGGCUACAGGCCAGGGGUAGGAGAAUGUAAAGGUUUUUUGGAGUUUCAACUUCCCACUCUUAUUACCAUGUGCAUAGAAGGAACUUCUUGUCAGUUGGACUGCUCUGUGUGCUUUUAUAGGGACCGACCGUGUAGAUGUG